rnacentral:lncRNA from 1 species
AGUUGGAGGGAAGAGGGAAAAUACUCAUCUUUUCAGAAUGGGAAUAGGACAAAUGAAGGAGAGUAAAACUUCAUCCUUUAUUGCUUUUUUUCCCUUUUCUCCUAAUAGCCUGUAGGUGUUAAUAUAAAUGUUAAAAAUAUUUGUACAGGGUGUGCAUGUAUGGUCUAAAGAAUUAAUUGUUAUUAACACAGCAUUGUGUAUUCCUGUAACUUAUUUCUGGUGUUGGGGAUGAUUUGAUUAAUUAGUUCUUAGAAAAACAGAUGCUGGUGCCGCAUUCUCGGCUUUCCAGGCAAAUUGCUAUUCUCUAUAUUUGACCCGUAGCAUGUAGAAUUGUAUUCUACCCUAUGAAAAAUUUAUAAUCAACUUCUUACCUUUUAGGCACAUAGAGAUGAAAUCCAGCGCAAAUUUGAUGCUCUUCGUAACAGCUGUACUGUAAUCACAGACCUGGAGGAGCAGCUAAACCAGCUGACCGAGGACAACGCUGAACUCAACAACCAAAACUUCUACUUGUCCAAACAACUCGAUGAGGCUUCUGGCGCCAACGACGAGAUUGUACAACUGCGAAGUGAAGUGGACCAUCUCCGCCGGGA